GAUGAACGCUGGCGGCGUGCCUAAUACAUGCAAGUCGAGCGAACGGACGAGAAGCUUGCUUCUCUGAUGUUAGCGGCGGACGGGUGAGUAACACGUGGAUAACCGACCUAUAAGACUGGGAUAACUUCGGGAAACCUGAGCUAAUACCGGAUAAUAUUUUGAACCGCAUGGUUCAAAAGUGAAAAACGUUCUUGCUGUCACUUAUAGAUGUAUCCGCGCUGCAUUAGCUAGUUGGUAAGGUAACGGCUUACCAAGGCAACGAUGCAUAGCCGACCUGAGAGGGUGAUCGGCCACACUGGAACUGAGACACGGUCCAGACUCCUACGGGAGGCAGCAGUAGGGAAUCUUGCGCAAUGGGCGAAAGCCUGACGGAGCAACGCCGCGUGAGUGAUGAAGGUCUUCGGAUCGUAAAACUCUGUUAUUAGGGAAGAACAUAUGUGUAAGUAACUGUGCACGUCUUGACGUUACCUAAUCAGAAAGCCACGGCUAACUACGUG
rnacentral:rRNA from 1 species